UGGGGAAUUUUCCGCAAUGGGCGCAAGCCUGACGGAGCAAUACCGCGUGAGGGAGGAAGGCUUUUGGGUUGUAAACCUCUUUUCUAAAGGAAGAAGCACUGACGGUACUUGAGGAAUCAGCAUCGGCUAACUCCGUGCCAGCAGCCGCGGUAAUACGGAGGAUGCAAGCGUUAUUCGGAAUUAUUCGGCGUAAAGCGUCCGCAGGUGGUGCCUCAAGUCUGCUGUCAAAGACCGAAGCUCAACUUCGGGCAGGCAGUGCUUACUGUAGCUGUAGAGUACGGUAGGGGUAGAGGGAAUUCCUAGUGUAGCGGUGAAAUGCGUAGAUAUUAGGAAGAACACCAGUGGCGAAGGCGCUCUACUGGGCCAAGACUGACGCUGAUGGACGAAAGCUAGGGGAGCGAAAGGGAUUAGAUACCCCCGUAGUCC
rnacentral:rRNA from 1 species